GCCUUUGUGGUGUAGUGGUAAUAGUGCGCGUCUCCUGCAUGGAUGAGGCGCGUGUUCGAUUCCCACCUGAGGCC